rnacentral:rRNA from 1 species
UACAGAGGGGGCAAGCGUUAUUCGGAAUUAUUGGGCGUAAAGAGCGCGCAGGCGGUCGAUCAAGUCGAGUGUGAAAGCCCCCGGCUCAACUGGGGAGGGUCAUUCGAUACUGAUCGACUCGAAGGCAGGAGAGGGUAGUGGAAUUCCCGGUGUAGUGGUGAAAUGCGUAGAUAUCGGGAGGAACACCAGUGGCGAAGGCGACUACCUGGCCUGUUCUUGACGCUGAGGCGCGAAAGCUAGGGGAGCAAACGGG